CCUACGGGGGGCAGCAGUGAGGAAUAUUGGUCAAUGGCCGGAAGGCUGAACCAGCCAAGUCGCGUGAGGGAAUAAGGCCCUAUGGGUCGUAAACCUCUUUUGUCAGGGAGCAAAGGCGUCCACGUGUGGACGAGAGGAGAGGACCUGAAGAAAAAGCAGCGGCUAACUCCGUGCCAGCAGCCGCGGUAAUACGGAGGAUGCGAGCGUUAUCCGGAUUUAUUGGGUUUAAAGGGUGCGUAGGCGGAGUGUCAAGUCAGCGGUAAAAUUUCGGGGCUCAACCCCGUCGUGCCGUUGAAACUGACGCCCUUGCGUGCGUGAGAAGUAAGCGGAAUGCGUUGUGUCGCGGUGACAUGCAUAGAUCUCACGCAGAACGCCGAUUGCGACGGCAGCUUACCGUCGCUCAACUGUCGCUGAGGCACGAACGUGCGGGUAUCGAACAGGAUUAGAUACCCGAGUAGUC
rnacentral:rRNA from 1 species